rnacentral:lncRNA from 1 species
AGAUGGGAGAGCCCAUUUGACUUAUAAUCCUCUUAGCAUUUCUCUAUUUUUUCAAUGUGGGAUAAUUGGUUCAUAACAAUCGCCUCCGCUUGAGAACCAACGACCUCGUUGGUCACGGACGAUCCUAGUUGGUCACGGCUGGUACCCCUCUUAGGUCCAGGUCACCACUCCUGACGCACAGGCCACCACUCUGAGUCAUGGCUCCACGCAUGGAUCGAUCCUCGUUGGUCACGGCUAUGCCCAGUUGGUCAUGGCUGGCACCCCUCUUGGCUUGGGUCUAGGCUACUCCCCACACGUGGAUCGAUCCUUGUUGGUCACGGCUACGCCCAGUUGGUCUACUCCCCACACGUGGAUCGAUCCUUGUUGGUCACGGCUGGCACCCCUCUUGGGUCCAGGCCACCACUCCUAGCGCGUAAGGACACCACACUGAGUCACGGCUCAAUGCGUGGGACUCUCAAUGAAAGCACCAAUGUUAUAAACCAAAUGGGAGAGCCCAA